rnacentral:rRNA from 1 species
AUACGGAGGGUGCGAGCGUUAAUCGGAAUUACUGGGCGUAAAGCGCGCGUAGGCGGUUUGGUCAGUCGGAUGUGAAAGCCCCGGGCUUAACCUGGGAAUUGCAUUCGAUACUGCCAGGCUAGAAUGUAGUAGAGGGAAGUGGAAUUCCGGGUGUAGCGGUGAAAUGCGUAGAUAUCCGGAGGAACACCAGUGGCGAAGGCGGUCUCCUGGCCGACACCUGACGUUGAAGCGCGAAAGCGUGGGGAGCAAACGGGAUUAGAUACCCGAGUAGUCC